rnacentral:rRNA from 1 species
GAUGAACGCUGGCGGCGUGCCUAAUACAUGCAAGUCGAGCGAACAGACGAGGAGCUUGCUCCUCUGACGUUAGCGGCGGACGGGUGAGUAACACGUGGAUAACCUACCUAUAAGACUGGGAUAACUUCGGGAAACCGUAGCUAAUACCGGAUAAUAUAUUGAACCGCAUGGUUCAAUAGUGAAAGACGGUCUUGCUGUCACUUAUAGAUGGAUCCGCGCUGCAUUAGCUAGUUGGUAAGGUAACGGCUUACCAAGGCAACGAUGCGUAGCCGACCUGAGAGGGUGAUCGGCCACACUGGAACUGAGACACGGUCCAGACUCCUACGGGAGGCAGCAGUAGGGAAUCUUCCGCAAUGGGCGAAAGCCUGACGGAGCAACGCCGCGUGAGUGAUGAAGGUCUUCGGAUCGUAAAACUCUGUUAUUAGGGAAGAACAAAUGUGUAAGUAACUGUGCACGUCUUGACGGUACCUAAUCAGAAAGCCACGGCUAACUACGUG